UAAGACAGAGGUGCCGAGCGUUAGGCGGAAUCACUGGGCUUAAAGCGUGUGUAGGCGGAUUUCUAAGUACCUUGUGAAAUCCCAUGGCUUAACCAUGGAACUGCUGGGUAUACUGGAUAUCUUGAGCCAACUAGGGGCUACCGGAACAAAUGGUGGAGCGGUGAAAUGCGUAGAUAUCAUUUGGAACGCCAAAGGUGAAAACAGGUAGCUGGGGUUGUGCUGACGCUGAGACACGAAAGCCAGGGGAGCGAACGGGAUUAGAUACCCCGGUAGUCCUGGCCGUAAACGAUGUCGACUAGAUCGUGGAACCUCUGACGGUGUCACGGUCGAAGCAAAAGUGCUAAGUCGACCGCCUGGGAAGUACGGUCGCAAGGCUA
rnacentral:rRNA from 1 species